GGCGCGAAUUUCAAACGUCGAAAACAAUAAUAAUGGAUUCUGGUCCAUUUACGUGCGAAUCAAUAUGGCACCAUGGCUUGAAUGACUGAUAAACAACAGCAACUGUUGACAGUGACCUUUUGAUGACAGUGACAAUAUUGACGAUGUUAAUCGACUUCCUGUCCAACUUGUUUGAAAGAACGGAAUGUGUUGGCAGUAUGAUUGUGUCUUCCUGCAAUAGCUACAAGUGACUUUCGCACGCACCACAAUGCUGAUAAAGGAGUAUCGCAUUCCGCUUCCACUCACCGUGGAUGAAUAUAGAAUAGCUCAACUGUACAUGAUAGCGAAAAAAAGUCGCGAAGAGAGUCAUGGCGAAGGAAGUGGUGUAGAAAUUAUUAUAAAUGAACCCUACGAAAAUGGACCCGGAGGAAGUGGGCAGUACACCAAGAAAAUUUACCAUGUCGGCAGUCAUCUUCCGGGCUGGUUCAAAAGUCUCCUGCCCAAAUCGGCUCUCACCGCCGAAGAGGAGGCUUGGAACGCUUACCCGUACACGAAGACAAGAUACACCACUCCAUUUGUCGAAAAGUUCUCGAUAGAAAUUGAAACCUAUUAUUUUGGCGACGACGGCAACCAAGAAAAUGUGUUUAACCUGAACAGCAGUGAAAAACGCAACAGGACUGUUGAUUUGAUUGAUGUGGUGAAAGAUCAGCAGAUGUACCAAGGCGAAAUUAGCAGAGAGGAGGACCCAAAAUUCUUUAUUUCAGAGAAAACCCAUCGUGGGCCUUUGUCUGAAAAUUGGCUGAAAGAAUAUUGGAAGGAUGUGAAGGGUAAAACUCAACCGACCGCAAGUGGAAAGUCUUUGAUGUGUGCCUACAAACUGUGCAAAGUUGAAUUUAGAUAUUGGGGAAUGCAGAGCAAAAUCGAAAAAUUCAUCCACGAUGUUGCCCUUAGAAAAACAAUGUUCAAAGCACACACACAAGCGUGGGUCUGGCAAGAUGAAUGGCACGGACUGACCAUGGAUGACAUUAGACAGAUCGAGCGGCAAACGCAGGAGGCGCUGAAGAAGAAAAUGGGCAAGGGCGAUGAUGCCGACGAGGAGGACGACGAAGAGGACAGUGGCGGGUUAAAUGAGGACGUCAGCAAGGCCCAAAGCUCCAAAGCAGCGUCACCAACCAUGAUGAGCAGCAUAGAGAAUCCCACCCCUCUGGCGAUCCAAUCCGAAUCCGACAGCAAGGAUGACGACGCCACCACCGCCGAAGACAAUUCGUUUUCCGAAGCUACGACGACUUCAAAGAGUAAAAAAACAUGGUCUAGGAGCAGCUCAAAAAUGGCUUUGAGCUCGCCUGGCGCCGUUUCAGGCAAGAGCUUUGAAGCUCAAAUGCCUUGUUGGCGAAUGGAAAGCAUUGUGCGAGACUCCGACUCGGGUAGUGAAGAGGAAUUCUUUGAUUGUAAAGAGGAGCUAGGCAAUAGUAUGUCAUCUUUAGCGAAAUGGAGCUCAAUGGAACUCUUUUCAGUGGAUGAAGCUGAAGCCGCGCGUAUUCGUGGCACCAGCUACAAAGAGCAAGAUAGCAUUUUUAGCCACUCGUACCUCCAGCGUGUUGUAAGCGAGCGAGGGCAAAAUUCUGCACGUUUAGAGAAAUCAAUGUCCGCUUCUAUGUCUUCGUCUCCAGCCCACCAGCCCUGCAAUGUUACUGUAUUAAUUCUAGUCCUCCAUGCUGGAAGUGUUUUAGAUGCUUCGUAUGAUGUCGCUGCAAAAAAGUCUGAUGUUACCACUUUUGCUGGGGCUUUCGAGUGUGUCACGAGACAGCACUACCCAUCCAUGAUUGGUCACAUUGCCAUCCGUCUUGUGCCAUGCCCUUCGAUUUGCUCCGAAGGUCUUGGUAUUCUAACAAGUCUUAGUCCAUACAGCUUUGAUGUUUCUCCUUCGUGUACUGACGCGCCUCAAAUAACGCACGACUCCAUUCCAAUUGGUGCAAUUCCUCUUUUUGCAUCCUCAACUCCAGACUAUCGAGAAACUAUUUCGAAAGUGAUCGCCACUGCAAAUUCAACAUAUCACGAGUUCACCAGAUCUGAAGAAGGCCGCGGUUUUAAUGGCCAAAUCUGUUUUGUUGGCGACUCGAUCGGCUCGAUUUUGGGCUACGACGCUUUGUGCCGCAGUGCACAGUUCCAUUCCAGGCAUGACAGUUGCAAUAGUGUUAAUGAUGAGGAAAAAGCGCCUCCUCAAUCUGACUGGGCGGACAGUGAUGCACACACUCAGCGGCAUUUAUCUGCUCCGCCACCGAGGAGAAGAUCGUCGUCCAAUAGUGAUCAAAAUAAGCUGGACUUUGACGUUGGAGACUUCUUCAUGUUUGGAACCCCUCUUUCUUUGGUCCUUGCUUACAGAAAAAUUGUCAUGGCAGAGGACAAAACAGCCCCCAUUCCAAAACCGCAAUCUCACCAAGUUUACAACCUGUUCCACCCUUCGGAUCCUGCGGCUGCAAGAUUGGAGCCUCUGAUCUCAGCCAGGUUCUCAAUGCUGCCUCCCGUUAAUAUUGCAAGAUACCAAAAGUAUCCGCUUGGAAAUGGCCACCCUUACCAUUUAUUGGAGUUCAUCCAAGCAAAUUCUCAAAUGUUUGCCGAAACUAGUGGAAAUAAUCUGAGCGCCACUGGUCACAUGCGCCGCCUUUCAGAAGCCAGCAUCCAGAGUGGGAUUUCUGGCCACGGAGACACCCUUCCUCUGCACACCAUUAGCAAUUUGACUUCUAAAUGGUGGGGCAGCAAACGUAUGGACUAUGCUAUUUAUUGUCCGGACGGUCUUUCAAACUUCCCAACCAAUGCGCUUCCUCACAUAUUCCAUUCAAGUUACUGGGAAUCUUCGGAUGUGGUAGCCUUCAUCAUUCGCCAAGUUGGUCAGAUGGACCCGACGUUGACUCUAGGCAAUGACGACAAGGAGCUGGCCCACUUCAACCCAGGCCAACCAAGAGAAAAAUGGUUGAAGAAGAGGACCUCGGUCAAACUAAAGAACGUGGCUGCCAACCACAGAGCCAAUGACGUAAUUGUAACUGAAGGAGCCUCGCAAAUGCUGACUGCAAGAUUUAUGUAUGGGCCCCUUGAUAUGAUUACCUUAGCAGGGGAAAGAGUGGACAUUCACAUCAUGUUGGAUAUAGCCACUGGAGAGUGGACCUUGUUUUCAACCGAAGUUACCGACAAGCACGGGAGAAUAUCGUACACAAUCCCAGCCGAGAAGGCAUUAGGAUAUGGGAUGUAUCCUGUGAAAAUGGUUGUGAGAGGUGAUCACACCUCUGUAGAUUUUUAUCUGGCUGUGGUGCCACCAAAAACUGAGUGCGUAGUGUUCAGCAUUGACGGCUCGUUCACUGCUAGCAUGUCUGUGACGGGCCGUGACCCGAAAGUGAGAGCGGGUGCAGUCGACAUUGUGAGGCAUUGGCAAGAACUUGGCUACUUGAUAAUUUACAUGACUGGAAGACCAGACAUGCAACAGCAGAAGGUUGUCUCUUGGCUCUCGCAACACAAUUUCCCGCACGGGCUCGUAUCAUUUGCUGAUGGCUUGUCAACUGAUCCACUUGGCCAUAAAGCUGCAUACCUCAAGAGCUUGAUGGAGGAGCACGGUCUAAUUGUGCAUGCUGCAUAUGGAAGCAGCAAGGACAUCACAGUCUACUCCAGCAUUGGCCUCAAACCAAAGGAAAUUUUCAUAGUCGGGAAGGUGUCGAAAAAGCAGGCGCCGUUGGCGCAGCCCCUCACCGAGGGUUACGCAGCGCACUUGUCCGCUCUGCUGGCCCACGGAGGAAGUCGACCUGCGCAGGGAAACGCCAGGAUGGUCAUUCCGAGGGGCUACUUUGGCCUCCCCGGUCAAAAUGUUUCCCUCAGGCGGAGAAGCCCUGUGAAGCAGCAUUGAGUUUUGGGAUGGAUGAAUUGGUUGAGAAAGAAAUAGGCAAGCCCAGUUUUAUCUUUCAAUGCCACACACUUUUAGUCAACAUUUAACCUUGACUCUCACCAUUUGUUUCUGCCAAGGCUUGAAAGAAGAAAUAUUUAGAAAAUAUCCGUAGCUCUGCUAUUCAAAAUUUGACAUUUUUUAUACUGUCAUUGCGAAUUAUUUUGAGCAUUAUUUUUAACUGAAUUUAACUCGAAAAAAAUUACAAAAGUCUCUUCUUCAAGUGCUUGAAGGCAACUUUUAAGGAACGUAUGAUCAUAUUGAAUCAAGAAAACCUUGGUUUCAUUUAAUAUUGCACAGGUUACAGGUUAAUUCACGCUUGCUUUUGGGGAAUCUGCUUCUGUGUAUAUUUCAAAAUUAUGUUUUGUUGUUUGAGCGGUGCAGUUAAACAUCUUCAUCCGUUCGACGCGAAAAAAUAUGAUUGGACAGAAAGCGGUGUCGACCGACGGUGGCAGCAUUCGACGCUUGAGACGAGUCCCAACACGUCCCCCAACACUUUCAGAAAUGGUCUAGCGGUGGCGAAAAUCUGCCCAUGACACGGCAGUGGAUUGCUUCAAAAUGUGCCAGUGUGACAAUUCUGAGGGCAAUGAUGACGAUAGUUGAGAGACCCGAAAAACUUGAGACUUCAAUUAGCGUGAUAUGAUUAUUUCUGUGGACGUUUGAAAUACAAAAAUUAUAAGGUUUUGGGAAAAUUGUAAAAUUUUGGUCUUGUCACGACGCCGAGUCCCUGCUUCGUAAUCUAAGGUCCCGGACGUGAUUGGGGUGCCUACCCGUUUUGUCUACUCAUUGCGGAGUUUCGAAAACUUGCUGGUUUAAUCAAAAACUAAAGAUCUGAUAUUUUAUAUAUAAAACAUGAAAUUAUUCGAUUAUUUCCUCCGUACAGAAUAUUCCAGCCUUGCGGCUUUCUUCAUUUUACUAUUGUAUAACGAACAAAAUAUUUUAAUGCUCUUAUUAAAUACUAUAAUUAUAUAUUUGAAAAAAAAAUACUCAAACUUGUUAAAUUUUGAUCAUUAGUGACUAAAUUACAGUGAGAUAAAAAUAGAAAAUUAAAGUUAUUAUAUAAUUAAAUCUGCGUGGUAGGGACCAAAAUCGGAUGGGAACGCACUUUGCUUUCGGACUUGAAUUUGUAAAAAAAAGUGACGAUCAAACACGAAUAUGCAGGAUGUUUUCAGCAUUUUCAUAAUUUAAAAAAAAAUGACUGCCAUCAUCUCUACGACUUCAAAUAGUUGACUAGGAGAAAGAUAUUUUAUUCAUUAAUAAUUGUCUCUGUCAGAGGGUGUUAAUUGAGUGCGGUAUAAUGUAUUUUGAUCCUCAUCGUCAGUUUAGUCAACUGCAGUACUGAGCAUACGCUUAUUAAAAAUGUUACAAACAACAGAGAUAGAAUAAUAAUAUAAUAAUACUCUAUGGAAAAUAUUGUGGAUAUCAAAGAAUAAUAUUAAAUAAUGUUAUAGAGUUUAUUGAGUGGCGGUAGUGAGAUGAAAUACAUGAUGUCAGUGUGUGAAACUAAAAAAAAAUCUGGAUAGACCAUUCCCUGGAAACUUGUGUUGUUUUAGAGCACCUUCAAUGGCAAGAUUACCACGCUUAUAUAUCUGUUAAUUUAAAUUUCAACGAGUUAAUUCAUUAUUUCAAACCAGGAAAUAUAUAUGAUUUUGUUUGCGAUAAUUUAUUGUUAAUGCGGACUUUACUUUCAACUUGAGCUCUGGAAUUGGCUUAUGUUUUAUGAUUGCUUGUUGUGUUAUAAGUGUAAUAUUGCAAAAAGAAAAAUACAUGCUCUCUACGCUAC